rnacentral:rRNA from 1 species
UACGGAGGGUGCGAGCGUUGUCCGGAAUCACUGGGCGUAAAGGGCGCGUAGGCGGCAUGCCAAGCGUGUGGUGAAAGCCCGGGGCUCAACCCCGGGUCGGCCGUGCGGACUGGCGUGCUCGAGCACUGUAGGGGCGGGUGGAAUUCCGGGUGUAGCGGUGGAAUGCGUAGAGAUCCGGAGGAACCCCAGAGGCGAAGGCGGCCCCCUGGCUCGUACCUGACGCUCAGCCACGAAAGCAUGGGGAGCGAACGGG